rnacentral:rRNA from 1 species
ACAGCAGUAGCCGCGGUAAUACGUAGGUGGCAAGCGUUGUCCGGAAUUAUUGGGCGUAAAGGGCUCGCAGGCGGUUUCUUAAGUCUGAUGUGAAAGCCCCCGGCUCAACCGGGGAGGGUCAUUGGAAACUGGGAAACUUGAGUGCAGAAGAGGAGAGUGGAAUUCCACGUGUAGCGGUGUAAUGCGUAGAGAUGUGGAGGAACACCAGUGGCGAAGGCGACUCUCUGGUCUGUAACUGACGCUGAGGAGCGAAAGCGUGGGGAGCGAACAGGAUUAGAUACCCCAGUAGUCCCUGUCUCUUAUAC